rnacentral:sRNA from 1 species
UAGGAGUGACUCACAGAAGCCAGGUGCGC